CUGCCUUGACCUCACGUGCAGCAAUUAGGACCACCAAGGAGUGUUCUUCAAACCACCUUCUACCACCCCGCGGGACACGCCAGGGCUGAUUCUGGUGCUCGCACCCCGCUUCCUCCUCUGCGUUCCCCUGUGGCAAAGAUAAGGAGUCAGGCCAGGGCGGGAUGACACUCAUUGAUUCUAAAGCAUCUUUAAUCUGCCAGGCGGAGGGGGCUUUGCUGGUCUUUCUUGGACUAUUCCAGAGAGCCAAAGGAAGACUUCUCUGUAGGACUAGCACACCCAGAGGAAGAGAGUGACCCAAAUUGGUGCUAGGAGCGAAUGAAUGGGGAAGUGAACUAGACCUCAGCCAUUCCCAGGAGAGAGAUGCUGCUGCCUGGGAAAAGAAGGAAUGGCUUUGCUUUGAGGAGUCCUGGAGCCCAUUACUAAGCUGCAGCAUUUGGUAUUUGACUCACACUGGCCACGGUAGCGUUGGACUCGCCUGACUGGGGAGAGAAAUAUUAAAAGUUUUCUGGAGGAAA
rnacentral:lncRNA from 1 species